rnacentral:tRNA from 15 species
GGGUCGUUAGCUCAGUUGGUAGAGCAGCGGACUUUUAAUCCGUAGGUCGCCGGUUCGAAUCCGGCACGACCCACCA